rnacentral:rRNA from 1 species
CAGCCGCCACGGGAAUACGUAGGUGGCAAGCGUUGCCCGGAGUUAUUGGGCGUAAAGGGCUCGCAGGCGGUUUCUUAAGUCUGAUGUGAAAGCCCCCGGCUCAACCGGGGAGGGCCAUUGGAAACUGGGAAGCUUGAGUGCAGAAGAGGAGAGUGGAAUUCCACGUGUAGCGGUGAAAUGCGUAGAGAUGUGGAGGAACACCAGUGGCGAAGGCGACUCUCUGGUCUGUAACUUACGCUGAGGAGCGAAAGCGUGGGGAGCGAACAGGAUUAGAUACCCCCGUAGUCCCUGUCUCUUAUAC